CCUCCCUGCCAUGUCUGCUGCAGCCAGCUCUUAUCCAAAGGACAUAGUUGAAUUAGAUGGUUGAAUUCAUUCUUUCCUGCUGACUUCUCUUUUCUGCGAGAGCUUUCAAAAGGCCUUGACCCUGAAUCCAUGAAAUGGUUCUCUGGACAGCUUCCUGGUGUUCCUGAGGAAGGAAGCAGAUUUUGGCAAAGAGGACCAUGACCAAGAAGGAACCACAGGGAAGGAUAUGGUGUUUUCAGCGCGAUCACCUACAGGAUGCUUCUCCAUGCACAGGAAGUUCGUGAUGAUUUACUGCAAAAGAGCCUUGAUCCAUGGCCCUAGAGAAUGAAUGACGUAAACUCAAGCUGCUGUCUCCAUGGUGGCUACCUUUGGUUGUCUAGUCCCUGAGGAAAGUAUGCAGUCAGUACUUGCUCCAUCCCAGGCACCAGACAGCCACACCCCUAGCCAGAGCAAGCCAGGGUGAGAACCUGGCUGCCGUCUUCGCCCCCACUUCCGUUUUCCAUUAUAUUCCCAGUGUGAUCCCUAGUGCUGUCGACCUAUAGAAGCUACACUCACCUAGGAGAAGGGCUUCUGGGUAUAGCUGUGGGGGAUUAACUGGUUGGCGAAGACCUGCUGGCUGGGAUGCUGAACUAUACAGAGAAGGCAGGUGAGCAGCCCGGGCCGUUCGUGGCUUCCUCCGGACUGCAGCGGUGAUAAAGCCAGCUGUUUCCGGCUCCAGCUGCCUCCACCUCUCACCCUGACCCUCCACCUCCCACGGUACCCUGAACUGUGAGCUAAAAUAAAUUCUUUCUCCCCUGGUU